rnacentral:rRNA from 1 species
UACGGGGGGGGCAAGCGUUGUUCGGAAUUACUGGGCGUAAAGGGCUCGUAGGCGGCCAACUAAGUCAGACGUGAAAUCCCUCGGCUUAACCGGGGAACUGCGUCUGAUACUGGAUGGCUUGAGUUUGGGAGAGGGAUGCGGAAUUCCAGGUGUAGCGGUGAAAUGCGUAGAUAUCUGGAGGAACACCGGUGGCGAAGGCGGCAUCCUGGACCAACACUGACGCUGAGUGAGCGAAAGCCAGAGGAGCAAACGGGG